UGGGGAAUUUUGGACAAUGGACGCAAGUCUGAUCCAGCCAUGCCGCGUGCGGGAAGAAGGCCUUCGGGUUGUAAACCGCUUUUGUCAGGGAAGAAACGAGUUUCUCUAAUACAGAGACUUAAUGACGGUACCUGAAGAAUAAGCACCGGCUAACUACGUGCCAGCAGCCGCGGUAAUACGUAGGGUGCGAGCGUUAAUCGGAAUUACUGGGCGUAAGGCGUGCGCAGGCGGUUAUAUAAGACAGAUGUGAAAUCCCCGGGCUCAACCUGGGAACUGCAUUUGUGACUGUAUAGCUAGAGUACGGCAGAGGGGGAUGGAAUUCCGCGUGUAGCAGUGAAAUGCGUAGAUAUGCGGAGGAACACCGAUGGCGAAGGCAAUCCCCUGGACCUGUACUGACGCUCAUGCACGAAAGCGUGGGGAGCAAACA
rnacentral:rRNA from 1 species